rnacentral:rRNA from 1 species
CAGUCGAGCGGGAAUGCAGAGGCGGAAUUUUUCGGAAGGAAGCCUUUGUGUUUUAGCGGCGGACGGGUGAGUAACGCGUGGAUAACCUGCCCCAUACCGGGGGAUAACAGUUAGAAAUGACUGCUAAUACCGCAUAAGCGCACGGCGCCGCAUGGCGCAGUGUGAAAAACUCCGGUGGUAUGGGAUGGAUCCGCGUCUGAUUAGCUAGUUGGCGGGGUAACGGCCCACCAAGGCAGCGAUCAGUAGCCGACCUGAGAGGGUGGCCGGCCACAUUGGGACUGAGACACGGCCCAAACUCCUACGGGAGGCAGCAGUGGGGAAUAUUGCACAAUGGGGGAAACCCUGAUGCAGCAACGCCGCGUGAGUGAAGAAGUAUUUCGGUAUGUAAAGCUCUAUCAGCAGGGAAGAAGAAGGGCGGUACCUGACUAAGAAGCCCCGGCUAACUACGUGCCAGCAGCCGCGGUAAUACGUAGGGGGCGAGCGUUAUCCGGAUUUACUGGGUGUAAAGGGAGCGUAGACGGUUAAUCAAGUCUGAAGUGAAAGCCCGCGGCUCAACUGCGGAACGGCUUUGGAAACUGAGUAACUGGAGUGCUGGAGGGGCAGGCGGAAUUCCUGGUGUAGCGGUGAAAUGCGUAGAUAUCAGGAGGAACACCGGUGGCGAAGGCGGCCUGCUGGACAGUAACUGACGUUGAGGCUCGAAAGCGUGGGGAGCAAACAGGA